AGGGCGCACAGUCAGUGGGGGUAGACGCGAAACCAAGUGAUCUACACUUGGCCAGGAUGAAGUCCCGGUAACACGGGAUGGAGGUCCGCACCAAUAAGCGUUGAAAAGCUUCUGGAUGAGCCGAGUGUAGGAGUGAAAGGCCAAUCAAACUUGGAGAUAGCUCGUACUCCCCGAAAGGCAUUUAGGUGCCGCGUCGGAUGGUCACCGUGAGAGGUAGAGCGACCGAUAGGACAAGAGGGCUUCACCGCCUAUCGAGUCCUGACGAACUCCGAAUGCUCACGGUCUGCAGUCCGGCAGUAAGGGGGCGGGUGCUAAGGUCCGUCCCCGAGAGGAGAAGAAUCCAGACCGCCGUCUAAGGUCCCGGAGUUCUGCCUGAGUUAGUCUAACGAAGUCUGGUCCCUAUGACAGCUAGGAUGUUGGCUUGGAAGCAGCCAUUCAUUCAAAGAGUGCGUAACAGCUCACUAGUCGAGGGUCCGGGCAUGGAUAAUAAUCGGGUAUAAGGCAGACACCGAAGGCGCGGGAUAGCAAUUAAAAAAGUAUCGGUAGGGGAGCAUACUCACAGCGUCGAAUGGUGUACGUAAGUUAUCCUGGAGCGGUGAGUAAAGCAAAUGUAGGAAUAAGUAACGAUAAGGAGGGUUAGAUUCCCUCCCGCUGUAAGACCAAGGUUUCCCGGGCAAUGCCAAUCAGCCCGGGGUCAGUCGGGUCCUAAGUCUAAGCCGAACGGCGAUGGCGAUGGCAGAGACGGUUAAUAUUCCGUCACUGCCGCAUGGGGCGACGUGGAGACGGAGCAGUGAAACCACCGCGGGGCGACGGAAGUCCCCGUUGAAGAGUGUAGGCGUUGAGGAUGGCAGGCAAAUCCACCAUCCGAGCUGAACUUGACAGUACGGAGUCCUCCUCGGAGGAAUCUGAUAGUGUGGGUAAUCAUACUCCCGAGAAAAUCCGCUAAGCUUAACCCAUGCGGCACCCGUACCGCAAACGGACACACGUGGUCGGGUAGAACAUACUAAGGCGUUGAGAGAUUCAUGGUUAAGGAACUAGGCAAAUUGACCCUGUAACUUCGGGAUAAAGGGUCCUCGUGAUGAGCGAGGCGCAGAGAAUAGGUCCAGGCAACUGUUUAACAAAAACACAGGGCUGUGCAAACUCGAAAGAUGACGUAUACAGCCUGACACCUGCCCGGUGCCGGAAGGUUAAGAGGAGAUGUCACCAGCAAUGGGAAGCAUUGAAUUGAAGCCCCGGUAAACGGCGGCCGUAACUAUAACGGUCCUAAGGUAGCGAAAUUCCUUGUCGGGUAAGUUCCGACCUGCACGAAUGGUGUAAUGAUCCGGACGCUGUCUCAACCAUGAGCUCAGUGAAAUUGUAGUAUCGGUGAAGAUGCCGAUUACCCGCGAUGGGACGAAAAGACCCCGUGAACCUUUACUACAGCUUAGCAUUGACCUUGGUCAUCCGAUGUGUAGGAUAGGCCGGAGGCUU
rnacentral:rRNA from 1 species